AACGCACGAGACCUGCGGACCUGCGGAAGGAUCAUUACAUGAUUUGAGGGGGCUCACGUCCCCUCAUCCAACCCACAAACCCCGAGGAACUUUUAUGUCGAGUGGUUCGGCGCUCUCUUCGAGAGCCGCCCCUCAAACGCAUCGCAGGCUUUUCGUGAAGGUCUGAUGUGUCACAUCGUGAGUAUUAAAACUUUCAACAAUGGAUCUCU
rnacentral:misc_RNA from 1 species